AUUGAACGCUGGCGGCAUGCUUUACACAUGCAAGUCGAACGGCAGCGCGGGCUUCGGCCUGGCGGCGAGUGGCGAACGGGUGAGUAAUGCAUCGGAACGUGCCCAGUCGUGGGGGAUAGCCCGGCGAAAGCCGGAUUAAUACCGCAUACGACCUUAUGGUGAAAGCGGGGGACCGAAAGGCCUCGCGCUAUUGGCGCGGCCGAUGUCGGAUUAGCUAGUUGGUGGGGUAAAGGCUUACCAAGGCGACGAUCCGUAGCUGGUCUGAGAGGACGACCAGCCACACUGGGACUGAGACACGGCCCAGACUCCUACGGGAGGCAGCAGUGGGGAAUUUUGGACAAUGGGGGCAACCCUGAUCCAGCAAUGCCGCGUGCGGGAAGAAGGCCUUCGGGUUGUAAACCGCUUUUGUUCGGGAAGAAAUCAUGUGGGCUAAUACCCCGGGGGGAUGACGGUACCGGAAGAAUAAGCACCGGCUAACUACGUG
rnacentral:rRNA from 1 species